GAUGAACGCUGGCGGCGUGCCUAAUACAUGCAAGUCGAGCGAACGGACGCGAAUCUUGCUUUUCUGAUGUUAGCGGCGGACGGGUGAGUAACACGUGGAUAACCUCCCUAUCAGACUGGGAUCACUUCGGGAAACCGGCUCUAAUACCGGAUAAUAUUUUGCACCGCAUGGUUCAAUAGUGAAAGACGGUCUUGCUGUCACUUAUCGAUGGUUCCGCGCUGCAUUAGCUGGUUGGUAAGGUAACGGCUUACCAAGGCAACGAUGCAUAGCCGACGUGAGAGGGGGGUAGGCGACACGAGAAGGGGGACAGGGUCAAGACGACUAAGGGAGGCAGCAGAAGGGAAUCGGACGCAAUGGGGGAAAGCAUGACGGAGCAGCGCGGAGUGAGUGAUGAAGGUCUUCGGAGCGUAAAACUCGGUUAUUAGGGAAGAACAGAUGUGGAAGGAACUGUGCACAGAGUGACGGUACCGAAUCAGAAAGCCACGGCUAACUACGUG
rnacentral:rRNA from 1 species